AGAGUCGGCCACUCUUUGGCCGACCUUAGUUAUAGGAUGUUUUCGUUUUCUAUCUUUUAGUAGUUUUCCUAUUUCCUCUUGGAUUAGGAUUUGUACUCUUUCCUUUUAUCAUCGUGAUGGGGAUAGAUCAUUGCAAUUGUUGGUCUUCAACGAGGAAUUCCUAGUAAGCGCGAGUCAUCAGCUCGCGUUGACUAC
rnacentral:ncRNA from 2 species